GAUGAACGCUGGCGGCGUGCUUAACACAUGCAAGUCGAACGAAGCACUUUAUUUGAUUUCCUUCGGGACUGAUUAUUUUGUGACUGAGUGGCGGACGGGUGAGUAACGCGUGGGUAACCUGCCUUGUACAGGGGGAUAACAGUUGGAAACGGCUGCUAAUACCGCAUAAGCGCACGGCAUCGCAUGAUGCAGUGUGAAAAACUCCGGUGGUAUAAGAUGGACCCGCGUUGGAUUAGCUAGUUGGUGAGGUAACGGCCCACCAAGGCGACGAUCCAUAGCCGACCUGAGAGGGUGACCGGCCACAUUGGGACUGAGACACGGCCCAAACUCCUACGGGAGGCAGCAGUGGGGAAUAUUGCACAAUGGGCGAAAGCCUGAUGCAGCGACGCCGCGUGAGCGAAGAAGUAGUUCGGUAUGUAAAGCUCUAUCAGCAGGGAAGAUAAUGACGGUACCUGACUAAGAAGCACCGGCUAAAUACGUG
rnacentral:rRNA from 1 species